rnacentral:misc_RNA from 1 species
AUGCGAUAAGUAAUGUGAAUUGCAGAAUUCAGUGAAUCAUCGAAUCUUUGAACGCACAUUGCGCCCGCCAGUAUUCUGGCGGGCAUGCCUGUUCGAGCGUCAUUUCAACCAUCAAGCCCCCGGGCUUGUGUUGGGGACCUGCGGCUGCCGCAGGCCCUGAAAAGCAGUGGCGGGCUCGCUGUCACACCGAGCGUAGUAGCAUACAUCUCGCUCUGGGCGUGCUGCGGGUUCCGGCCGUUAAACCACCUUUUAACCCAAGGUUGACCUCGGAUCAGGUAGGAAGACCCGCUGAACUUAA